rnacentral:rRNA from 1 species
CCUACGGGCCGCACCAGUAGGGAAUCUUCGGCAAUGGACGAAAGUCUGACCGAGCAACGCCGCGUGAGUGAAGAAGGUUUUCGGAUCGUAAAACUCUGUUGUUAGAGAAGAACAAGGACGUUAGUAACUGAACGUCCCCUGACGGUAUCUAACCAGAAAGCCACGGCUAACUACGUGCCAGCAGCCGCGGUAAUACGUAGGUGGCAAGCGUUGUCCGGAUUUAUUGGGCGUAAAGCGAGCGCAGGCGGUCUUUUAAGUCUGAUGUGAAAGCCCUCGGCUCAACCGAGGAAGGUCAUUGGAAACUGGAGGACUUGAGUGCAGAAGAGGAGAGUGGAAUUCCAUGUGUAGCGGUGAAAUGCGUAGAUAUAUGGAGGAACACCAGUGGCGAAGGCGACUCUCUGGUCUGUAACUGACGCUGAGGCUCGAAAGCGUGGGGAGCAAACAGGAUUAGAUACCCCAGUAGUC